rnacentral:rRNA from 1 species
UAACACGUAGGAGGCAAGCGUUAUCCGAAUUUACUGGGCGUAAAGCGCGUGCAGGCGGUUCGGUAAGUUGGAUGUGAAAUCUCCCGGCUCAACUGGGAGGGGACGUUCAAUACUGUCGGACUUGAGGACGAUAGAGGGAGGUGGAAUUCCCGGUGUAGUGGUGAAAUGCGUAGAUAUCGGGAGGAACACCAGUGGCGAAAGCGGCCUCCUGGAUCGUUCCUGACGCUCAGACGCGAAAGCUAGGGGAGCGAACGGGAUUAGAAACCCCGGUAGUCCUAGCCGUAAACGAUGUAGACUUGGUGUUGGUGGGGUAAAAUCCAUCAGUGCCGAAGCUAACGCGAUAAGUCUACCGCCUGGGGACUACGGUCGCAAGGCUAAAACUUAAAGGAAUUGACGG